rnacentral:rRNA from 1 species
UGAGCAUGUUAAUCUCGACGAGUCAACAUAUCGAUUUAUCGUCUUAGAUUCGUAGCCAGAGGGUCCCUGUCGCGAUUAAUGGAGUUAUGGCUAGUGACCAUGGCUAGGAUACUGUCUCGGUUGGUAAUCAGAUAGUCAUGGCAGAUUGUAGGAGCAAUCUGCUUAGCUACCCUAGAGUAGUGCUGGUAGUAUGAGACGUGUAUGAGGAACGUGCUACCACCGGGCUGCAGGCUAUUCCUUCAGUAUCCGGGUGGUAGUAUGGUCGCAACGAUAUAUCUCGAAGGAAUUAACGGUAAUCACUCACGCGGGGGAGCAUUGGAUGUAAAAAACAGAAAAACGCGGGGGCGCCCCCCCAGCGGGGACAGUUGUUUAUUAGAAGAAAAGGAAAAACCUCUACUUGAUUUUCCAGUGAAGUACGAGCUAGAAAAGGAACGCCGGGUUCCCGUCUGGACCUUCCACAGGGGUAGCACGCCUUCUCAGGUUAUGUUGUAAAACGUUAGGUUAAGUCCUGUACGAGAGAAACCCCCGGUGUUUUGCUCCCCCCGGUUAUGCGGGCACUCGGAGAUACGCCGGGUUUAAACCGGAGGAACGGGGGGAAGAUGCCAAUCAUACGUGCCCCAACAGCAGGGGCACAGAGGGGCACAACCGCGAGCCGGAGCAACUCUUCCCAAUCUGCCCCAGUUUGGAUAGUAGGCCGAAAUUCGCCUCCAUGAAGUUGGAAUCGCUAGUAAUCGCGAAUCAGCUACGUCGCGGUGAAUACGUUCCUGAGCCUUGUACACACCGCCCGUCAAGCCACCCAAGCUGAAAGCACCCGAAGUCCGGCGUCAAUAGUCCGGCCGAAGGUGAGUUUGGUGAGGGGGACUAAGUCGUAACAAGGUAACC